GACAGAGGGUGCAAGCGUUGUUCGGAAUUAUUGGGCGUAAAGGGCGCGUAGGUGGCCGCGUAAGUCGGAUGUGAAAGCCCAGGGCUUAACCCUGGAAGUGCAUCCGAUACUGUGUGGCUUGAGUCCCGGAGAGGGUCGUGGAAUUCCCAGUGUAGAGGUGAAAUUCGUAGAUAUUGGGAGGAACACCAGUGGCGAAGGCGACGACCUGGACGAGGACUGACACUGAGGCGCGAAAGCGUGGGGAGCAAACAGG
rnacentral:rRNA from 1 species